CCCAGGUCAGCCCACAGCAAAAUCCCACACAACAAAGCUGAGCCUUGGCCUAGUGGCUAAACAGUUCUUCAGGAUCUGGGCCAGAAAGCUAUUGUAUUUGCUACCCAUUUACAGACUCUAGGCAGCAAAGGAGUCCUACAAGGCCUGACUUGAGUAGGAAAACUUGUAGGCCAGUACCCAGGAGAGUGCACGCCCUCGAAAGUUCCCCUACAUGCAGGUUGAAGCAGUUAAAUUGCUUAGUGACAUCCAACUUGGACCCAAUUAAAAUUAAUGUUUGGUUAAAUGGUCAUCCAAUUCCCAUAGAGGUCGAUACUGGCGCAGCUGUAUCUGUGGUUGUAGAAUUCGACUAUAAUAAGAUUCGCUUGAGACUCCAACCUUUUAGCUUGUGCAAGACCUCAGCCAGACGGAGAACGUACACUGGGGAACCAUUGCACAUUAAAAGUACGACUUCAGUUCCGGUGCCCUAUGAGAAGCAGUUGGUGCAGUUACCAUUGAUGGUAGUAAAAGGUUCGGGCCCAAGUUUAUUGGAGUGGAAUUGCUUGAGAAAGAUUCACCAAGAUUGGCUCAGCACUUUUCCAUUGGAAAAUGGUUGCCUCAGUGAAGUCCUAGUGAAAUACCCAGGAGUUUUUUCGGAAGGGCUUGGGACCAGGAAGCAUUUCCGAGAUAUUCCAAGGCCCACCCAGUGCCAUUUGUCUUCUGGGUAAAAAUAGAGGCAGAAAUCAGGAGCCUGGAGAGUGAAGGAAUCAUCAAACCAGUGCAGUUUGUAGAAUGGGCAGUACCAGUCAUACUGAUGGCUCAGUUCACUUUUGUGGGGAUUUUAAGCAAAUGAUAAACUGCUUCUUGCAGCUGGAUAAAUACCCGAUCCCUCGCAUAGAGGACUUGUACACAGAGUUGGUAGGAGGGUUGUCCUUUAUGAAGCUGACAUGAGCCAUGCCCACCUGCAAUUGCAACUGGAUGAGCAGUCCCAGAAGUACGGUACAAUUAAUACCCAUAAGGUUUUAUAUCAAUAUACAAGGCUGCCAUUUGGUGUAUUGUCAGCGUGCGCCAUUUUCCAGCGGACCAUGGAGAACAUUUUACAAGGGCUACCCCUGUUUAUCAUUUAUCUGGAUGACAUACUAAUAACAGGGAAGGCCAAUGAAGAGGAUGUAGAGAACGUAGACAUAGUGCUUAAUUGUUUCUCCCAGGUGGCCUUAGAAGGGAAAAUGUGUGUUCUAGGCACCCCAAGAGACCUACUUGUGUUACAGAGUCAACAAAACCGAGUUACACCUAUUGGAAGAUAAAGUGAGGGCCAUCAAAGGAUCCCCGGCUCCCACCUCUGUACCAGAAUUUACGUCUUUCCUUGGGUUGGUGAAUUAUUACAGAAAAGUCAUACGUAACCUGGCCUCCAUCUUGGCACUCUUACACCUGCUAUUGUAAAGGGGUCAGCCUUGGAAAUGGUCACGAAGGGAACAUUUAGGGAAGUGAACAAGCAGCUAUCGUCAUCUCAGAUGUUGGCUCACUAUGAUAUGAAGCGAGAAGUAGUGCUGAUGUGCGAUGCCUCCCUGUACAGUACUCAGGUAGUAUUGGUUCACUGGUGACCCAAUGAAGAGGAACGCCUGAUAGGGUAUGCUGCUGGACUUUGGCUGAUGCCAAACACUAGCAUGCCCAGAUUGAGAGGGAAGGUUUGGAGGUCAUCUUUGGCAUGAGGAAAUUCCACUAGUACCUUUGUGGAUGGGAAUUUGUCAUAGUGACAGAUCACAAACCCCUGCGAAAGACAUUGAAGGAAGACAAGGCCCAUAGCUUUUGGGAGAACUCAGCGUCGGGUCCUUAUUCUCAGUGCGUACAAUUACAAGUUGGAACACCGUCCAGAAAGCCCAAGUGGCUAAUGUGGAUGCCUUGAAGCGCCUCCCACUGGCAGACAGUCCAGCAGAGAUGCCUUCCUGGGAAGAGUCUGUUUUGGUUUUGAAAUUUCUGGACACCCUUCCAGUCACCGCAGGCAACAUCCGAUUGUGGACACAAAAGGAUCCUGUCCCAGUGAAACUGAAACAGCUGGUGAUAACGGGUGAAGUAAAAGGGCCAUCGCAACCAGGAUUGAAACCUUUUUGGACCGGCGAGACCAGAUCACUGUAGAUGACGGCAUAUUACUGUUGGGAGCAAGGGUGAUUGUUCCGGGUAAAGGUUGCUGUCAGAUACUGGCCAAACUCCAUCAGGAUCAUCCAGGAGAUUUCCAAGAUGAAAAUCCUGGCAAGAAGCUAUGUCUGAUGGCUGGGGUUGGAUGCCGACAUAGCUGCGUUGGUGGGGCAGAACCCAGAAUGCCAACAAGGACAAAAAUUGCCACAAGCAGCGCCCCCCCCAUUCGUGGGCAGGGAUGGGUAAACUGUGGACUUAGUUGCAUUGACAACUAUUCCAGUCCUUUCAUGGGCUCAAUGUUCCUAGUCAUUGUGGACACCCAUUCAAAGUGGUUGGUUAGGCAUAAAAUUUGUUCAGCAAACUCAGGGAUGACAAUUGAGAAGAUACAAGCAUCAUUUGCAAUACAUGAUCUCCUGCAUGUAUUGGUCGCGGACAAUGGGAUGUCAUUUACCAGCAGAGAAUUUGAAUACUUCUUAAAUUUCAAUGGCAUUCAGCACAUAAGGACAGCUCCAUGCCAACCGUCAUCCAGUUAUCCAGUGGAAAGAGCAGUUGGCUGAAAGAAACAGCCUACAAUGUCAGUUGAGACCAAACUGUCCCGGUUCCAGUUCGAUUAUAGGACCACCCCCACACGAAACAACAGGAAUAGCUCCAGCGGAGUUGCUGAUGGGGAGAAGACUCUCCACCAGGUUAAAUCUGACAAUCCCAGACCUGGAUGGGUGAGGGUGAAACAGCAGCAGGAACGCCAAUGACGGUCGCAUGCUUCCUCUAAGUGAGAGAGACAACUCAGUUCAGGGGAUGAAGUUUCAUGCCGGAAACAUGGGCAUGGCCCUGUAAGGGUACGAGGUGAAGUUGGUGCGAGGUCAGGUCCCGUGACUUACAAAGUUCGGCUUGGUGAUACAGCCCUGAACAAAUGUGCGGAUCACUUGAAAGCCUCGCAAACUGAGCAGGAGCAAAGCAUACCUGGCCCCUCAGAACAGCCUGAAAGCCCGACAAAAACUGCAUUUGCUCCCCCUCCGUCUAGUAUCGAGGAAACCUCAGAGUCCAAGAUGGAUGCAGCCUCGAUACCGCUGUCACCGAAAGAUGAUGAGGAGACUCUUCUGAGAUGAUCCGGAUGCAAGGGACGGGCCAUGGUUUGGCACACGGCACCUGUCUCUGAGUCUGAGUCAGAGGAACUGGACCUUGGGCAAACGUGUUGCAGCACAGAUCUCAGCAGUUCAAAAUUAAAAAGUUAAUAAGGUGAGACAACAAGGUGCAGGGCUGGAUGAACACAGCAGGCCAAGCAGCAUCAUAGGAGCAGAGCUUUAACCAUUCCACUGAUCCAAGAUUCCAUCAGUCCAGUUGUCUAGAAGGAAAGGCGAUGAUUAUAAAAAAGUAACUUCUUCAUGUUUCACUGAUAAACUUCUGUGAAUCCUCAGUAGGUUUAAAACAAUGUAAUUCUGGUACAUGCUCAAAGCCUCUCCAACUCUCCUUCUUUAAGAUGCUCCUCAAAACCUAGCUGUUUUGCUUUAUUGAUUGUAGGCAUUUCAAAUAAAUGCAAAAAAAAAGUCAACUCUGGAGGUUAACUAUAAGAUAAACUCAUAUAAACAACACCCUGCCAACAAGUUGCUCAACCCCAACAAUAACAACAACAAUUUGUAUUAUAACAUGUCAUUCACAUGAUAAAAAGUUCCAAUGUUCUUCACAGUGGUAAUAUUAAAAAAUUGACAUCAAAUCACAUAAGGAGGUAGCAGGGCAAAUGCCAAAAGCUUAGUCUAAGUGUUACGUUUUAAGAAGUGUCUUAAAGGAGGAGACAGAAAGGCAGAGACAUUUAAGGAACGAAUUCCAAAGUUUAGAUCUUGACUGAAGCUGUGGCUACAAAAGAUGGAAAAUAAAAGUCAGGAAUGUUCAGGAAACCAGAAUUAGGGAGGAGUGGAAUUGUUUUUUAUUCAUUCACAGGAUGAGGGCAUCGCUGGUUAGGCAGCAUUUAUUGCCCAUCCCUAAUUGCCCA